AUGAGAACAAAUGACAAGCGGCAAAAAGAGCUGCAAGAGGACAAUUCUAGCAUGCAUACCUUGCCAGUACUUGAAACUUGUUGGGGAAUUGACAUUCAUGGCAGAGAUGUGUACACUCACAACAUUUUUGUUGCUUUCCAAAGUGAGGUGGUUGCUGCUAGGGAUCGUCGUCAUGUAAAAACUAUUGAGCAGGUUGGCGAUGUCCAAACCAUGAGCAUUGCUGACCUUAGCGGCAGGAUAAGAGUAGUCCGCUACAACACUAGUACGAAGGCUGCACAAUGUACUUGCCGAAUGUUUGAAGCAUUGGGCAUCAUGUGCUCUCACAUCAUUGGUGUUUUAAAGAAUGAUGGGUGUAAUGAAAUUCUUAGCCAAUAUGUGUUGCAUAGGUGGUCUAAAAUGGCUGCACGACAUGUUUCUUGUGAUGCUAAUGGACAUGAGCUAGAGGGGUCAUCUACAUCUCUUUCACCUACCAUCAAUAAACUGUACUCAGAAACAUGCUUGAUGUUCAGCUCGGCAUUGCAUACAGCUAAACAUUGUGAGGACAAGAUGUAA
rnacentral:rRNA from 1 species